rnacentral:rRNA from 1 species
AUUGAACGCUGGCGGCAGGCCUAACACAUGCAAGUCGAACGAGUGGCGGACGGGUGAGUAAUGUCUGGGAAACUGCCUGAUGGAGGGGGAUACCUACUGGAAACGGUAGCUAAUACCGCAUACCAUCGGAUGUGCCCAGAUGGGAUUAGCUAGUAGGUGUGUGAACGGCUCACCUAGGCGACGAUCCCUAGCUGGGCUGAGAGGAUGACCAGCCACACUGGAACUGAGACACGGUCCAGACUCCUACGGGAGGCAGCAGUGGGGAAUAUUGCACAAUGGGCGCAAGCCUAAUGCAGCCAUGCCGCGUGUAUGAAGAAGGCCUUCGGGUUGUAAAGUACUUUCAUCGGGGAGGCGUUACCCGCAGAAGAAGCAACGGCUAACUCCGUGCCAGCAGCCGCGGUAAUAC